rnacentral:rRNA from 1 species
GAUGAACGCUAGCGGGAGGCUUAAUACAUGCAAGUCGAGGGGUAACUGGGAGAAUUUAUUUUCUGCAGACGACCGGCGAACGGGUGAGUAACGCGUACAUAUCUGCCUUAUACUGAGGAAUAGCCUUUGGAAACGAAGAUUAAUACCUCAUGGUCCCUUAGGGGUAAAGCUACGGCGGUAUAAGAUGAAUGUGCGUACCAUUAGCUAGUUGGUAGGGUAACGGCCUACCAAGGCGACGAUGGUUAGGGGGCGUGAGAGCGUGGACCCCCACACGGGUACUGAGACACGGACCCGACUCCUACGGGAGGCAGCAGUAAGGAAUAUUGGACAAUGGGCGGAAGCCUGAUCCAGCCAUCCCGCGUGGAGGAUGACGGCCCUAUGGGUUGUAAACUCCUUUUAGAUAGGAAGAAACCCUGAGAUUUAUCUUGGGCUGACGGUACUAUCAGAAUAAGCACCGGCUAACUCCG